UACGAAGGGGGCGAGCGUUGUUCGGAAUUACUGGGCGUAAAGGGCGCGUAGGCGGCCCCUUUUGUCGCGUUUGAAAGCCCCGGGCUCAACCUGGGAGGUGCGCGGGAAACGGGGGGGCUUGAGUUCGGGAGAGGAGAGUGGAAUUCCCAGUGUAGAGGUGAAAUUCGUAGAUAUUGGGAAGAACACCGGUGGCGAAGGCGGCUCUCUGGACCGAGACUGACGCUGAGGCGCGAAAGCGUGGGGAGCAAACAGG
rnacentral:rRNA from 1 species